CGCGGCAGCCGGCGGAGCUGGGCCGGCGGCUGGGCGCGGUGGCUGCUGUCCGCCCCCGGACUUGUGACCGGUACCGGCAGCAGCCAGGAGCCGCGCUGUGCCCUGAAGAGCUUUAAUCCACGAGUCUAUUAAUUAACCUGGUCACCCUGAAGAGGAGUAGGAUGGAGUGGGAAAGCCCUGCAGCAAAGGCUAAAGACUUCAUACAAGCUGGCCUUCCUGAUUCCUAGCUCUAACUGCUCCAGCAGACCUGACAGUGCAGCAUGAUUAGGAUGAGGAGGAAGAAUCUGUGGAUAUCUUACUUGUGCUUUGCAGCUGCCUUUUUCCUUAUGGUGACACUCCAGCUCUGAACAGCCAAAUAAGUGUUCCAGAAUAAGGAAAAUUCUUUCUACACCUUUAGAAAUGACUGCUCUUCCAAACUGACUUCACAUUUUCAAAGUACUCUCUUCUCUAGGGCUCAGACGUUCUCAGUGAUGCAACUGGUAGAGCCUUCAACGGUGGGAGAAACGCUUGCAUGAGAGCCAGGAAUUGUAAGAGGGAAAACAAAUAACACACAAGAUCCUAGAGAAGCAGUGAAGACUGCCACUACAGUGCUGCUGAGUGAGCACAUAGCUACCAUGAGACUGUGAAAUCUCCUUCUGAAUCUGGCUCAUGCGAUGGAAAAGCCUAAAUGUGGAGAAUACCCAGAAAAGAGGUGCAGCUGGUACAUUACAAUCCAGCACUUGCUCUGAGUAACAACAGUACACAGGACUGCCUUGAGAUGUGCUUAGAGAAAUAAAACGAUCAGGGCUGUUGAAAGCACCUGCCUGUGAGUGCUUCCUAUCCUCAGUGCCAUCUGACCAGCCUCCAGUGUCCUCCUCAAAAUGUGGUUCUGUUUUAGAAAGACAAAUAAAAGUUCUGCGAGCACAGAUGAUGAAAGUUUCACCGUUUCCAUGCUUGCCUUCCAUCAGAGGAUGUAUUCCUUCCCUUCGGGGGAGUACUGCCCAACAUUGUGCCAGGUUUCCGUGCCCCAUCCUCCUUUGAGCUGCUGCUGCACAGCUCCCAGAUGUGAGUGACAUCCACAGGCUCUUUGCCUCGGACCACAGCUGGCUGGGGGCCUGAUGUGGGCUCAGCUGUAUGAGAAACGGAUGAGCACAGACUGGGAGAAAACUCUCCCAAGCGGCAUCCAAGUACAGGCAUACCAAGGUAACAGCACAUCGUCCUUGCAUCAGCAAGGGAACCAAUGCCGGCAGGAUUUGAUUCAUCUGGACUUCUAUGUGGUCCAAUUCUGUGCAAUAAGGCAAGAGAAGCACAGGAAUACCCCUGACUGGUACUUUUGUCUCUGUAUUAGGCAUAUCACAGAGCCAACAAAGAAAUAAUUCACUUUGCUGCAAAUGAGAAAAGCAUCCAUGUGAAUCACCAGCUAUCAAUGUGCGCUUUGUUGGUUUCAUUUCAGAUUCUCUGCAGCUUUUCAGUUUUUCCCAGUGCUGCUGUCAGAUGCGUACAGAGGAGCAUUUAACUGUUGCUGUGUUCUCCUCACCUUUACAUUAGAAAGAAAAACUGUUUCCUAUCCUGUUGAAUGAAUGGCCUUGGCUUUAAAAUGUUUAAACAUAGUUUAGGUGAAUUAGACCCUUCUAAAUGCUAGCUAAGAAUCACUUGGACUUCCCAAGGUGGUCUGCUGAAGCUGAAUUAAGCACAAGUUAAGGUCCAGGUAGUUUGCAUUAUCUAGAAUUUUAGAAUCUGUUAAUUAGCUUGAACAAGUUAAAAUCACAUGUAUAAAUCCUAGACUAAAUGUGGCCAUAGCCCUAUGCUGCUCAGAAAGGGCUUGAUCUCAGCUGGUGGGCUUGGGCAGAACAAUUAUAAUAUCCAGCUUUAUGGUAGCUGGAGACAAUAUAAAGCACCUUUGUUCUGGACAUACAACCAAGCAGCAGGCCUGGCCUACAGGCAGUUUAACAGCAGCAACACUGACAGCAUGGUACUGAAAGACAGAGGAAAUAAUAUCUAAACAUUUAUUAAGGGAAAUCUUGCAAUAUUCUCAGAAAAAUGUCCACUUAUGCCAUAUGCCUUUGCCAUUUUUCUGCACACACAAGCCUGCUCUGACUCUGCAAACUGAUGCAAAAUGGAGCCAAGGAUAACUGGAUCUUUACAUUCCUUGAUCCUGCUUGUACCAGGACAAAAAAAGUAAGAGAUAAUAUAGACUUAGGAUGGCUAAGUCCAGGAUUGUUUCUAAUUUCUCAUUGUCACUUUUCGUGUUUCAGUGUGUAUAAUGAAGUUGUGUCAAGUCCUCCUGCCAGUAGUCCAGUGAUGUUCAAAAACCUGGUGCCAUCAGUGAAAGAUUUGAUUCCAGUAUUAACUGAUAUUCCAAGUGCAUGAUUUAAAAUAAAAAAGAUAACAAAACUGG